rnacentral:rRNA from 1 species
AUUGAACGCUGGCGGCAUGCCUUACACAUGCAAGUCGAACGGCAGGCACGGGGGCAACCCUGGUGGCGAGUGGCGAACGGGUGAGUAAUACAUCGGAACGUACCCAGUAGUGGGGGAUAGCCCGGCGAAAAGCCGGAUUAAUACCGCAUACGACCUACGGGUGAAAGCGGGGGAUCGCAAGACCUCGUGCUACCGGAGCGGCCGAUGUCAGAUUAGGUUGUUGGUGGGGUAAAAGCCUACCAAGCCGACGAUCUGUAGCUGGUCUGAGAGGACGACCAGCCACACUGGGACUGAGACACGGCCCAGACUCCUACGGGAGGCAGCAGUGGGGAAUUUUGGACAAUGGGCGCAAGCCUGAUCCAGCCAUGCCGCGUGCGGGAAGAAGGCCUCGG